GACGAACGCUGGCGGCGUGCUUAACACAUGCAAGUCGAACGAAGAGCGAUGGAAGCUUGCUUCUAUCACUCUUAGUGGCGAACGGGUGAGUAACGCGUAAUCAACCUGCCCUUCAGAGGGGGACAACAGUUGGAAACGACUGCUAAUACCGCAUACGAUCUAAUCUCGGCAUCGAGGAUAGAUGAAAGGUGGCCUCUACAUGUAAGCUAUCACUGAAGGAGGGGAUUGUGUCUGAUUAGCUAGCUGGAGGGGUAACGGCCCACCAAGGCGAUGAUCAGUAGCCGGUCUGAGAGGAUGAACGGCCACAUUGGGACUGAGACACGGCCCAGACUCCUACGGGAGGCAGCAGUGGGGAAUCUUCCGCAAUGGACGAAAGUCUGACGGAGCAACGCCGCGUGAGUGAUGACGGCCUUCGGGUUGUAAAGCUCUGUUAAUCGGGACGAAAGGCCUUCUUGCGAAUAGUGAGAAGGAUUGACGGUACCGGAAUAGAAAGCCACGGCUAACUACGUG
rnacentral:rRNA from 1 species